AUUGAACGCUGGCGGCAGGCCUAACACAUGCAAGUCGAGCGGAUGAAGGGAGCUUUCUCCUGGAUUCAGCUGCGGACGGGUGAGUAAUGCCUAGGAAUCUGCCUGGUAGUGUUGGAUAACGUCCGGAAACGGGCGCUAAUACCGCAUACGUCCUUAGGGAGAAAGUGGGUGAUCUUCGGACCUCACGCUAUCAGAUGAGCCUAGGUCGGAUUAGCUAGUUGGUGGGGUAAAGUCCUACCAAGGCGACGAUCCGUAACUGGUCUGAGAGGAUGAUCAGUCACACUGGAACUGAGACACGGUCCAGACUACUACGGGAGGCAGCAGUGGGGAAUAUUGGACAAUGGGCGAAAGCCUGAUCCAGCAAUGCCGCGUGUGUGAAGAAGGUCUUCGGAUUGUAAAGCACUUUAAGUUGGGAGGAAGGGAAGUAAGUUAAUACAUUGCUGUUUUGACGUUACCAACAGAAUAAGCACCGGCUAACUACGUG
rnacentral:rRNA from 1 species